rnacentral:rRNA from 1 species
UACGUAGGGGGCUAGCGUUGUCCGGAUUUAUUGGGCGUAAAGAGCGUGUAGGCGGCCAUGCAGGUCCGUUGUGAAAACUGGAGGCUUAACCUCCAGACGUCGAUGGAAACCGUAUGGCUAGAGUCCGGAAGAGGAGAGUGGAAUUCCUGGUGUAGCGGUGAAAUGCGCAGAUAUCAGGAAGAACACCCGUGGCGAAGGCGGCUCUCUGGGACGGUACUGACGCUGAGACGCGAAAGCGUGGGGAGCGAACAGG